AUUGAACGCUGGCGGCAGGCCUAACACAUGCAAGUCGAGCGGAUGAGUGGAGCUUGCUCCAUGAUUCAGCGGCGGACGGGUGAGUAAUGCCUAGGAAUCUGCCUGGUAGUGGGGGACAACGUUUCGAAAGGAACGCUAAUACCGCAUACGCACUACGGGAGAAAGUGGGGGAUCUGCGGACCUCACGCUAUCAGAUGAGCCUCGGUCGGAUUAGGUAGUUGGUGAGGUAAAGGCUCUCCAAGGCGACGAUCCGUAACUGGUCUGAGAGGAUGAUCAGUCACACUGGAACUGAGACACGGUCCAGACUCCUACGGGAGGCAGCAUUGGGGAAUAUUGGACAAUGGGCGAAAGCCUGAUCCAGCCAUGCCGCGUGUGUGAAGAAGGUCUUCGGAUUGUAAAGCACUUUAAGUUGGGAGGAAGGGCAGUAAGUUAAUACCUUGCUGUUUUGACGUUACCAACAGAAUAAGCACCGGCCAACUUCGUGCCAGCCGCCGCGGUAACAC
rnacentral:rRNA from 1 species